rnacentral:sRNA from 1 species
UGAGGUUAGCCUGGGCUAAAUGGGUGCCCACCUCAAAACUAUUCUGUAGGAUUUUUAGUUAAAAGCCUACAAAAGGAUGUCUUUUGAAAUUUCUCAGUUGUACCUUUAUCCUUCAUGCUUAGGGUAAUCAAUCUGUGUCAUAUCACGGGUGGUGGGUAACUAGAACACCUCCUUACGUACUGUCUCGUUGGCAAUUAGAAUUUGUAAGUAUUGACCCUAUUCACAUUAGCAACUGGAAUUCGUGUUGACUGUCUUCAGGAAUAAACUUGCUGUUGAAUAUUUCCCAAAUUUGAAAAUUUCUCAGACUCAUGAAAAUGCAGCUACUGUUUCUAGCUUGAGAGACACUGUUGGAGAACCCCACUAUUAAGGUCACAGUCUACCAUGUCCAGAUAGCUCUCCGACCUCUGUGAAAAAUGGAGAAUCCCCUUUUUCAGCAGGGGUCCCCUUUCUUUCUCUACCAGGCCUUGUUUGGAGAGUGUCUCUGAGCACAGAGGCCUGACCUUAUUUGGAGGAUAACCCUGCACAGAACUUCCUGUGAGUGCUGCACGAUUCAGCACAUGAGCUCAGUCUCCCCACCCCAUAUGAUAGUGAGGAACCGUGUUAUGACCAGUUGGCCCUUUCUGCCUGAACUCCUAAGAGACUCUGUAGACCCUAAAAGUCAAAGUAGAUCUGUCUCACAGAAUCACCCUCCCAGAAAUUCUUCAUCAUACUCACGGUCAUCCAAAUCCCACUUGCUGUGUCUGCUCCCUCUGCCCUCGGGACCGGUGACCAAUGACCCAUGAGGAAAAGGGAGACCCACGAGACCCUUCAGUGAAGAACAUUUGCAGUUCUGGAUUCCAGUGUAGUCAACAUAUAAUUAUAGCACUAAUAGUGAACUCUUUUGGCAGUGUUUAGUUACCAGGGCCCAGUCAUCAGAUGCAGAGCCCACUCACGUUAGGCGUUAAAGACGAUCAUAGAAAUGACAAUAGAACAUCUUCCAAAACCUUCAAGUUCCUAAGGACAUAUUUACACACCCACUGGAGAAACUUUGAAAUAUUUACCUCCGUUAAAGGAAAGGUGUGAACUCCCAUGCUGAAUGAACUAAUAGCUCACCACUUGUCUGGUUUCGGAUGCAUGGUGAAUCUCUCAUCUGAGGUGACUCAACUUCAACAGGAUCAUGUCUUGUCCAUCCCACAGGAAACUGCUUGGAGGAUUGGGAAGAUGUCACAGGGUUGCAGAUUGGAUAAUCUAUGUGCAGACCACAGUGUACUAAAUCAUUUGGGUCCCGUGAAAGUUUACUUACACACGGACAGCAUUUUCUCUGUACUUGUUCUUCUGCCAUGCUCGCAGCCUGCAGCGUCGUGGGUAUUUGCAGCUAACUUUAGCAAACUGUUUGCAUUGGUACCCGUGGACUCCUAGUUGGAGCUGAACAGCUUUUCCUGAUGUGACCAUGAUUUGCACAGCGAACAACUCUGUUGAUGCUUCCUGCACAAUGACACGAGAGUGUAAUGGUGGAAAGGUCAAAUGAAGGACGUGAGGCCGGUGUCCUGACUCGCAUGUGGCACGAAUGGAGAAGGAAGCGUGGGAAGGACACUUGUGAGGGAGUGUCACAUCCAGAGUGGACACUAUCCUGUCCUAUUCCUUAUGCUACACUGCAUAGGAGAGACAACCCUGCAGACGUAAGUAACCUCAGUAGGGAAGCCAGCCAGGCCACAGGCCAGUGACUCGCAUCUGUAGAAUAUGAUUUCUUGGUUUUGUCUUUUUCUCUUAAAAUUAUUUUUCUUAUAGAUUGUUUUGAGCUGCUUGGUCUCUAGUCAUUUGUUACGCGCAGUCACUGAAAACCAAAAGAGAAAACCAGGUGAUACACGCCUCUCUUUUCACAAAUGAUGGCAUAGAAGGCCACAGAAACAUAGAAUUCACCUGUGCAUCCUAGUCCACUUACGGGUCCAACUUUAACAAUUGCUGGAGGUUUUUGUUUCUUGUUUUUGUUUUGUUUUGUUUUCAUCUGCCACUUCAUUUGUUGUUUUUGUUGGCAGGAGGAGUUGAAACAAAAAUUUAAGGGUGUUUUUUUUCCUCUACCCUAAACAUCGAUCA